rnacentral:tRNA from 1 species
GGAGAGGUGGCUCAGCGGUUAAGAGCACUGACUGCUCUUCUGGAGUUCCUGAGUUCAAUUCCCAGCAACCACA